AGGGCGCACGGUGGAUGCCUUGGCACUAGGAGCCGAUGAAGGACGGGACUAACACCGAUAUGCUUUGGGGAGCUGUAAGUAAGCUAUGAUCCAGAGAUUUCCGAAUGGGGGAACCCAAUAUCUUUUAUAGGAUAUUACUUUUCAGUGAAUACAUAGCUGAUUAGAGGUAGACGCAGAGAACUGAAACAUCUUAGUACCUGCAGGAAGAGAAAGAAAAUUCGAUUCCCUGAGUAGCGGCGAGCGAAACGGGAAGAGCCCAAACCAACAAGCUUGCUUGUUGGGGUUGUAGGACUCCAAUAUGGUAGUCUGUUAGUAUAGUUGAAGGAUUUGGAAAAUUCCGCUAAAGAGGGUGAAAGCCCCGUAGACGAAAUGCUGACAACACCUAGGAGGAUCCUGAGUACGGCGGAACACGAGAAAUUCCGUCGGAAUCCGCGGGGACCAUCCCGCAAGGCUAAAUACUCCCUAGUGACCGAUAGUGAACCAGUACCGUGAGGGAAAGGUGAAAAGCACCCCGGAAGGGGAGUGAAAUAGAUCCUGAAACCGUGUGCCUACAACAAGUCAAAGCUCGUUAAUGAGUGAUGGCGUGCCUUUUGUAGAAUGAACCGGCGAGUUACGAUUGCAUGCGAGGUUAAGUCGAAGAGACGGAGCCGCAGCGAAAGCGAGUCUGAAUAGGGCGAAUGAGUAUGUAGUCGUAGACCCGAAACCAUGUGAUCUACCCAUGUCCAGGUUGAAGGUGCGGUAAAACGCACUGGAGGACCGAACCCACGUACGUUGAAAAGUGCGGGGAUGAGGUGUGGGUAGCGGAGAAAUUCCAAACGAACUUGGAGAUAGCUGGUUCUCUCCGAAAUAGCUUUAGGGCUAGCCUCGGAAUUGAGAAUGAUGGAGGUAGAGCACUGUUUGGACUAGGGGCCCAUCUCGGGUUACCGAAUUCAGAUAAACUCCGAAUGCCAUUCAUUUAUAUCCGGGAGUCAGACUGCGAGUGAUAAGAUCCGUAGUCGAAAGGGAAACAGCCCAGACCACCAGCUAAGGUCCCAAAAUAUAUGUUAAGUGGAAAAGGAUGUGGGGUUGCACAGACAACUAGGAUGUUGGCUUAGAAGCAGCCACCAUUUAAAGAGUGCGUAAUAGCUCACUAGUCGAGUGACCCUGCGCCGAAAAUGUACCGGGGCUAAACAUAUUACCGAAGCUGUGGACUACACCAUUAGGUGUAGUGGUAGGAGAGCGUUCUAAGGGCGUUGAAGGUCGAUCGUGAGGACGGCUGGAGCGCUUAGAAGUGAGAAUGCCGGUAUGAGUAGCGAAAGACAGGUGAGAAUCCUGUCCACCGUAUGACUAAGGUUUCCUGGGGAAGGCUCGUCCGCCCAGGGUUAGUCGGGACCUAAGCCGAGGCCGAUAGGCGUAGGCGAUGGACAACAGGUUGAUAUUCCUGUACCAGUUGUUUUUGUUUGAGCAAUGGAGGGACGCAGUAGGCUAAGGAAUGCAUGCGAUUGGAAGUGCAUGUCCAAGCAAUGAGUCUUGAGUAGAGUUAAAUGCUUUACUCUUUAAGGACAAGUUGUGACGGGGAGCGAAAUAAUAGUAGCGAAGUUCCUGAUGUCACACUGCCAAGAAAAGCUUCUAGUGAGAAAACAACUGCCCGUACCGUAAACCGACACAGGUAGUCGAGGAGAGUAUCCUAAGGUGAGCGAGCGAACUCUCGUUAAGGAACUCGGCAAAAUGACCCCGUAACUUCGGGAGAAGGGGUGCUGACUUCGGUCAGCCGCAGUGAAUAGGCCCAAGCGACUGUUUAUCAAAAACACAGGUCUCUGCAAAAUCGUAAGAUGAAGUAUAGGGGCUGACGCCUGCCCGGUGCUGGAAGGUUAAGAGGAUGGGUUAGCUUCGGCGAAGCUCAGAAUUGAAGCCCCAGUAAACGGCGGCCGUAACUAUAACGGUCCUAAGGUAGCGAAAUUCCUUGUCGGGUAAGUUCCGACCCGCACGAAAGGCGUAACGAUUUGGGCACUGUCUCAACGAGAGACUCGGUGAAAUUUUAGUACCUGUGAAGAUGCAGGUUACCCGCGACAGGACGGAAAGACCCCAUGGAGCUUUACUGUAGUUUGAUAUUGAGUGUUUGUACCACAUGUACAGGAUAGGUAGGAGCCGAUGAGACCGGAACGCUAGUUUCGGAGGAGGCGCUGGUGGGAUACUACCCUUGUGUUAUGAACCCUCUAACCCGCACCACUAAUCGUGGUGGGAGACAGUGUCAGAUGGGCAGUUUGACUGGGGCGGUCGCCUCCUAAAAGGUAACGGAGGCGCCCAAAGGUUCCCUCAGAAUGGUUGGAAAUCAUUCGAAGAGUGUAAAGGCAGAAGGGAGCUUGACUGCGAGACCUACAAGUCGAGCAGGGACGAAAGUCGGGCUUAGUGAUCCGGUGGUUCCGCAUGGAAGGGCCAUCGCUCAACGGAUAAAAGCUACCCUGGGGAUAACAGGCUUAUCUCCCCCAAGAGUCCACAUCGACGGGGAGGUUUGGCACCUCGAUGUCGGCUCGUCGCAUCCUGGGGCUGUAGUCGGUCCCAAGGGUUGGGCUGUUCGCCCAUUAAAGCG
rnacentral:rRNA from 1 species